rnacentral:rRNA from 1 species
AUUGAACGCUGGCGGCAUGCCUUACACAUGCAAGUCGAACGGCAGCACGGGAGCAAUCCUGGUGGCGAGUGGCGAACGGGUGAGUAAUAUAUCGGAACGUGCCCAGUCGUGGGGGAUAACGUAGCGAAAGCUACGCUAAUACCGCAUACGAUCUAUGGAUGAAAGCGGGGGAGUCGCAAGACCUCGCGCGAUUGGAGCGGCCGAUAUCAGAUUAGGUAGUUGGUGGGGUAAAGCCUACCAAGCCUUCGAUCUGUAGCUGGUCUGAGAGGACGGACCAGCCACACUGGAACUGAGACACGGUCCAGACUCCUACGGGAGGCGAGCAGUGGGGAAGUUUUGGUACGAAUA